GGGGAUGCAUAAGGCAUCGACAGACGCUUGAAAACUAUGGUUCAGGUGGAGAUGGGUUCCCUCCUAAAACGCCCAACCGGAUAAGUGCAAACUUAUUCAAGAAAGCAUUCUCGCUGGAGCCAGCAAUGGCAUUAGCGUAAGAACGCUUCCCCGAUCAGCGUGUUCUGCUCUUUAGCAGAUGCGCCGGGGCAUCGGCUGUGCUAACGCCUGUGCGGCACAUCACCGGUGCCAUAUCAUCAGGAUCGCAAAGAAGGCAUGUUCCGACCUCUUUGUUAAAAAAGGAACAUAUCCUAAACUUGUCAACCCAUAGCUGGAUACGUUUGGACAGGAGUUCGAUUCUCCUCAUCUCCACCG
rnacentral:tmRNA from 1 species